rnacentral:rRNA from 1 species
UACGAAGGGGGCUAGCGUUGUUCGGAAUCACUGGGCGUAAAGCGCACGUAGGCGGAUCUUUAAGUCAGAGGUGAAAUCCCAAGGCUCAACCUUGGAACUGCCUUUGAUACUGGAGAUCUUGAGUCCGGGAGAGGUGAGUGGAACUGCGAGUGUAGAGGUGAAAUUCGUAGAUAUUCGCAAGAACACCAGUGGCGAAGGCGGCUCACUGGCCCGGUACUGACGCUGAGGUGCGAAAGCGUGGGGAGCAAACAUG